rnacentral:lncRNA from 1 species
UGCAAUAACUGAUUAGCUGGGUUAUCUUAUUGUUAUGAUUAGCUGGGUUAUCUUGUUAUUAGCUGGGAAUUUAUAUAAAAACUGCCUGUUAUUAUUUUUUUUGUUUUAUUGCUCUCUUUAUAUUUCAUAUUGUUAGCUCUCUUUAUAUUACAUAUGGUGCAAUAAUGGAUGAUUAGUUGUUAUGUGAGAGUUAUUAUGCUUAUUGGUUGGCCUUUGUGUUGUUUAUAGGCUAAGUUUUUGUGGCAAUGUUGCUUAUAGUUAGCUUUCUGUUUUUGGGCUUGUCUCUUCUGUAUCAUUGCCUCUUUAGCUGCUGUGUUUAAAAAUGGGUAGAAAAUCCACUGCUCGUAGACAUCCAUAUUUUAGAGGUCAAUCCAGUAGACAGUCUGAGGCUCCUAGGUCCCCCUCCCCAGACCCUCCUGCCUCUCCCCCCUUUGAGUUUCCUAUAGUUAGAGAGGAGGAUCCAGCUUUUCAGCCUUUUUCUCUCAGG